rfam:Micromonas sp. RCC299 chloroplast, complete genome.
AAUCAAUCAAUAAAGGGCAUAUGGUGGAGACCUAGGGACCUAGAGCCGAUGAAGGGCGUGACAACCGACGAUAUGCCUCGGGGAGCAGGACGUAUGCUUUGAUCCGAGGAUUCCCGAAUGGGGCAACCCAAAGCAUUCCUUCUUGAAUUCAUAGAGAAGAGAAAGACAACUUGGUGAACUGAAACAUCUUAGUAGCCAAAGGAAAAGAAAGCAAAAGCGAUUCCCAAAGUAGCGGCGAGCGGAAUGGGAACAGCCUAAAAGGACUUUGACAUUAAUGUAAAGACCAGGUCAUGGGACCAAACAUAUGGCACUGCAUGGAAUGAGAAACGAAACAGCUGAAACCUGUACCAUAGAUGGUGAAAGUCCAGUCGUUGAAUCACUACCAACAACCGCCGUUUGGCUCCCGAGUAGUAUGGGACACGUGAAAUCCCGUAUGAAUUUGCGAGGACCACCUCGUAAGGCUAAAUACUCCUAGGUCACCGAUAGCGAAUAGUACCGCGAGGGAAAGGUGAAAAGAACCCCUUUACGGGGAGUGAAAUAGAACAUGAAACCGUAUGCUUACAAUUUGUGGGAGGAUGAACACAUCUGACCGCAUGCCUGUUGAAGAAUGAUCUGGCGACUUAGAAGAAGUGGCAGGUUAAGAUUUUCCAUCGAAGCCAAAGCGAAAGCAUGUCUGAUAAGGGCUCUCGUCCCUUCUUCUAGACCCGAACCCAGGUGAUCUAACCAUGACCAGAAUGAAGCUUUGGUGAUACGAAGUGGAGGUUCGAACCGACCGAUGUUGAAAAAUCGACGGAUGAGUUGUGGUUAGGGGUGAAAUGCCAAUCGAACUUGGAGCUAGCUGGUUCUCCUCGAAAUGCGUUGAGGCGCAGCGGUUGAUUAUGGGCUUCUAGGGGGUAAAGCGCUGUCUCGGUGCGGGCUGCGAAAGCGGUACCAAUCUGUUGCAAACUCGGAAUACCUAGAACGCUUUCAAUCAGCCAGUGAGACUGCGGGGGAUAAGCUCCGUAGUCAAAAGGGAAACAGCCCAGACCACCAGCUAAGGCUCCUAAAUAAAAGCUAAGUGGCAAAGGAGGUAAAAAUGCAGUGACAAUCAGGAGGUUUGCCUAGAAGCAGCCACCCUUUAAAGAGUGCGUAAUAGCUCACUGAUCAAGCGUUUUCGCGCCGAAAAUGACCGGAACUAAGUUUUUUGCCGAAGCUGUGGCUACAUCACAUAGAUGAUGUAGGGUAGAGGAGCGUUCCGUCCAGGGGGAAGCCAAGCGCGUAAGCCGCGGUCGACAGGACGGAAGUGAGAAUGUCAGAUUGAGUAACGUAAACAUUGGUGAGAAUCCAAUGCCCCGAAAACUCAAGGGUUCCUGCGCAAGGCUCGUCCGCGCAGGGUCAGUCAGGACCUAAGGUGAGGCCGAAAGGCGUAAUUGAUGGCAAGAAGGUUUAUAUUCCUUCACUAGUCUAGGCUUAGUCCUGAGGGACGAACAAAUACCAAUCUACACAACAGCCAUACUUGGCAGUUUGGAUAAACCUGUUGCUGUUUGAUGCUAUUUAUUCCAAGAAAAGCUCAUUCGACUUUGAGUCUAGACUACCUGUACCGUAAACCGACACAGGUGAGUGGGUUGAAUAAACUAAGGGGAGCGAGAUAACUCUCUCUAAGGAACUCGGCAAAUUGGCUCUGUACCUUCGGAAGAAAGAGUGCCCCUCAGGGGGCCACAGUAAAGAGAUCCAGGCGACUGUUUACCAAAAACACAGGUCUCCGCAAAGUCGUAAGACGACGUAUGGGGGCUGACACCUGCCCAGUGCCAGAAGGUUAAAGAAGUUGGUCAAUCUUUGAUGAAGCUAACAACUGAAGCCCUGGUGAACGGCGGCAGUAACUAUAACUGUCCUAAGGUAGCGAAAUUCCUUGUCGGGUAAGUUCCGACCCGCACGAAAGGUGUAACGAUCUGGAUACUGUCUCAGAGAGAGACUCGGUGAAAUAAAACUAGCUGUGAAGAUGCGGCUUACCUGCACACGGACAGAAAGACCCUAUGAAGCUUUACUGUAACCUGGAAUUGCUUUCAAGCUUAUUUUGCGCAGCUUAGGUGGGAGGCUACGAACCUUUUCUUCCGGGAAGAGGGGAGCCAUCAGUGAGAUACCACUCUUGGUAAGCUAGAAAGCUCAGUCUUAACCGUUAUCCGGUAAGAUGACAGUUUCAGGCGGGCAGUUUGACUGGGGCAGUCACCUCCCAAAAGGUAAUGGAGGUGCACAAAGGUUCCCUCAGGUUGGACGGAAAUCAACCAUAGAGUGUAAAAGCAUAAGGGAGCUUGACUGCGAGACUGACAUGUCAAGCAGAGACGAAAGUCGGUUUUAGUGAUCCGACGGUGCUGCGUGGAAAGGCCGUCGCUCAACGGAUAAAAGUUACUCUAGGGAUAACAGGCUAAUCUCCCCCAAGAGUUCACAUCGACGGGGAGGUUUGGCACCUCGAUGUCGGCUCGUCGCAUCCUGGAGCGGAAGUACGUUCCAAGGGUUGGGCUGUUCGCCCAUAGAAAGCGGCACGCGAGCUGGGUUCAGAACGUCGUGAGACAGUUUGGUCCAUAUCCUGUGUAGGCGUUUAGAGCAUUGAAAGGAUCUCCCCUUUGUACGAGAGGACCAGGUGGGGACAGACCUCUAGUGUACCAGUUAUUCCGCCAGGGGUAAACGCUGGGUAGCUAUGUCUGGAGUAAAUAACUGCUGAAAGCAUAUAAGUAGGAAGUUCACCUUAAGAUGAGUGCUCUUUUGUCUCAAACGAUCAAUCUUCUAUGAAGGAUUGACAAAUGAAAGACAAGGAAGGUCACGGCAAGACGAGCCGUUUGAUAGGCAUGAAGUAGAAGUGCAGUAAUGCAUUCUGAAGCUGACAUGUGCUAAUAGACCGAGGGAUUUGAUUUU